UACGUAGGGACCAAGCGUUGUUCGGAUUUACUGGGCGUAAAGGGCGCGUAGGCGGCAAUUCAAGUCAUCUGUGAAAUCUCCGGGCUUAACUCGGAACGGUCAGAUGAUACUGCUUUGCUAGAGUGCGGAAGGGGCAAUCGGGAUUCUUGGUGUAGCGGUGAAAUGCGUAGAUAUCAAGAGGAACACCUGAGGUGAAGACGGGUUGCUGGGCCGACACUGACGCUGACAGCGCGAAAGCCAGGGGAGCAAACGGG
rnacentral:rRNA from 1 species